rnacentral:rRNA from 1 species
CCUACGGGAGGCAGCAGUGGGGGAUAUUGCACAAUGGGGGAAACCCUGAUGCAGCGACGCCGCGUGGGUGAAGAAGCGCCUCGGCGCGUAAAGCCCUUUCAGCAGGGAAGAAAAUGACGGUACCUGAAGAAGAAGCCCCGGCUAACUACGUGCCAGCAGCCGCGGUAAUACGUAGGGGGCCAGCGUUAUCCGGAUUUACUGGGUGUAAAGGGGGCGCAGACGGCGAUGCAAGCCAGGAGUGAAAGCCCGGGGCCCAACCCCGGGACUGCUCUUGGAACUGCGUGGCUAGAGUGCAGGAGGGGUAGGCGGAAUUCGUGGUGUAGCGGUGAAAUGCGUAGAUAUCAGGAGGAACACCGGUGGCGAAGGCGGCCUGCUGGACUGCAACUGACGUUGAGGCCCGAAAGCGUGGGGAGCAAACAGGAUUAGAUACCCUUGUAGUC